GGAGGAAAAGAAACCAACAGGGAUUGCCUUAGUAACGGCGAGUGAAGCGGCAAAAGCUCAAAUUUGAAAUCUGGCACCUUCGGUGUCCGAGUUGUAAUUUGAAGAAGGUAACUUUGGAGUUGGCUCUUGUCUAUGUUCCUUGGAACAGGACGUCACAGAGGGUGAGAAUCCCGUGCGAUGAGAUGCCCAAUUCUAUGUAAAGUGCUUUCGAAGAGUCGAGUUGUUUGGGAAUGCAGCUCUAAGUGGGUGGUAAAUUCCAUCUAAAGCUAAAUAUUGGCGAGAGACCGAUAGCGAACAAGUACAGUGAUGGAAAGAUGAAAAGAACUUUGAAAAGAGAGUGAAAAAGUACGUGAAAUUGUUGAAAGGGAAGGGCUUGAGAUCAGACUUGGUAUUUUGCGAUCCUUUCCUUCUUGGUUGGGUUCCUCGCAGCUUACUGGGCCAGCAUCGGUUUGGAUGGUAGGAUAAUGACUAAGGAAUGUGGCUCUACUUCGGUGGAGUGUUAUAGCCUUGGUUGAUACUGCCUGUCUAGACCGAGGACUGCGUCUUUUGACUAGGAUGUUGGCAUAA
rnacentral:rRNA from 1 species